rnacentral:rRNA from 1 species
UACGUAGGGCGCAAGCGUUAUCCGGAAUUAUUGGGCGUAAAGAGCUCGUAGGCGGUCUGUCGCGUCGAAUGUGAAAACCCGGGGCUCAACUCCGGGCUUGCAUUCGAUACGGGCAGGCUAGAGUUCGGUAGGGGAGUCUGGAAUUCCUGGUGUAGCGGUGAAAUGCGCAGAUAUCAGGAGGAACACCGGUGGCGAAGGCGGGACUCUGGGCCGAUACUGACGCUGAGGAGCGAAAGCGUGGGGAGCGAACAGG